rnacentral:rRNA from 1 species
UACGGAGGGUGCAAGCGUUAUCCGGAUUCACUGGGUUUAAAGGGUGCGUAGGUGGGCAAGUAAGUCAGUGGUGAAAUCUCCGGGCUUAACCCGGAAACUGCCAUUGAUACUAUUUGUCUUGAAUACUGUGGAGGUCAGCGGAAUAUGUCAUGUAGCGGUGAAAUGCUUAGAUAUGACAUAGAACACCAAUUGCGAAGGCAGCUGGUUACACAAAUAUUGACACUGAGGCUCGAAAUC